rnacentral:tRNA from 1 species
GAGAGAGGCUGGCAGCAAUGGAAACUGCUAAUUUUCAUGACCUUGGUUGGACUCCUGGGCUCACUCGUACCC